AUUUAAAAUCUGGCGUCUUUCAGGCGUCCGAGUUGUAAUCUAUAGAGGCGUUUUCCGCGCCGGACCGCGUCCAAGUCUCUUGGAAUAGAGUAUCAAAGAGGGUGACAAUCCCGUACUUGACGCGACAACCGGUGCUCUGUGAUACGUUCUCAAUGAGUCGAGUUGUUUGGGAAUGCAGCUCUAAAUGGGUGGUAAAUUCCAUCUAAGGCUAAAUAUUGGCGAGAGACCGAUAGCGAACAAGUACCGUGAGGGAAAGAUGAAAAGCACUUUGGAAAGAGAGUUAAACAGCACGUGAAAUUGUUAAAAGGGAAACGAUUGAAGUCAGUCGUGUGAAAGGUAUUCAGCCGUCUCUGGCGGUGUAUUUGCCUUUCACGGGUCAACAUCAGUUUGAUCCGGUAGAAAAAGGCGGGAGGAAGGUGGCACCCUCGGGUGUGUUAUAGCCUCCUGUCAUAUGUGCCGGACCAGACUGAGGAACGCAGCUUGCCGCAAGGCCGGGGUUCGCCCACGUACAAGCUUAGGAUGUUGACAUAAUGGCUUUAAACGACCCGUCUUGAA
rnacentral:rRNA from 1 species